rnacentral:rRNA from 1 species
CUGGUUGAUCCUGCCAGUAGUGAUAUGCUUGUCUCAAAGAUUAAGCCAUGCAUGUCUCAGUUUAAAUAAACUUGAAAAGUAAAACUGUGAAAGGCUCAUUAAAACAGCUGUAGUUUGUUUGAUGGUGAAUCCUUACAUGGAUACCUGCGGAAAUUCUGGAGCUAAUACAUGUUUCCACACCUGACUUCUCGGAAGGGUGGUACUUAUUAGUUAUAGAACCAACCCAGGCUUGCCUGGUUGUUUGGUGAUUCAUGAUAAGCAAAUGAAUYSSACAGCAUCGCUGGCGAUAAAUCAUUUAAGCUUCUGACCUAUCAGCUUUCGAUGGUAUGGUAUUGGCAUACCAUGGCGAUGACGGGUGACGGAGAAUUAGGGUUCGAUUCCGGAGAGGGAGCCUGAGAAAUGGCUACCACAUCUAAGGAAGCASAGGCGCGCAAAUUACCCAA